AGCUCUGCAGAGGGGCUGUCUGUUGCCAUACCAGGAAGAGACAGUCCACUCCCUCUUGAAGAGACAAACUCAAGCAGACUUCGCAGAAGAGAAACGACUGCACUGAGUCUUAAAAGAAGAGAAGUUUAGCAGAAUAAGGAGGAAAGGGCAAGUGCCAAAGCAAGGAGCCAGGGGACAGGGCCUAAGAGGACCCAGAGAAUAAGAGGACAGCAUGUAAGACAGCGUGGAGACAAACAGGGAAGAGCAUGCCACCAGUAAUAGACACUGAUGGUGAACAAAUAUAGAGCCUGGAAUCCAGUGAGGUCACACAGCCUCUGAAAGCCAGCGAAGCCGCAUGGAAUCUGGGAACACAGCUCAGCGAUGGUCCAGCUGCCUCUGCAUUCUUCACCUCCCACUGUCUUCUGCCCCUUCGCCCCUCCAGCACCAAAGUCAGAGCACAGAGCCCAUGGACAGCCUGGUGUGUCACAGGAACCACAUUAUACAGCUGCAAGGUGGAGAAGCCUCCUGAGGCAUGAGCUAUCAGACUUUGACAUAAACAGUGGAUAAGUAUUUUGAAUCACCAAACUACAGACAUGCAUAGCUUGCCGGAUGUGACAAUCACCUGAUACCAGCGAGCAACCACGUGUUUCUUUCAGAAACCAGGAGCCAGCCGAUAACCCAGGCGUUCUGUCCCGACCCAGCCCAUGUUCUCUGCAGUGGAGGGCUGAGGGGGAAAUUCUCCCCACUGGCAGGUGGGUGCCACCUCUUCCUUUCAAACUUGUUCAUCAGUAAACGCAAGAGGGUGCCAGAAAUGUUGGAAGCAACUGAAGUAUGACUGAAGUAAGUGAAUAACUCUGCAAGACAAUUAUUUCAGAUAACAUCUUAUUUCAGUCGUCAAGGUUUUACUUUUUUAAAAAGGAAAUGCAAUCCAUGCUAUUACUUUGCAGACCUCACAUAAAUAACUACCUUCACAGCUUCAUUAUAAAUUCCUCGGGACAAAACCUAUGUCUCAUAAGUCUUUUGCACCUCGCAUUGUGUUUAGCCCCUAACUAAAAACAUUAGAAGCACAUA